ensembl:lncRNA
UUUUCUGGUUGGAAGGGGAGGGGAAAGGAGAGGGAAGAAAAGGCACCCUACUCCCAACAAACUGAGGAGAACUAGGCAGCUUUCUGAUCAGAGUUCAGAUGAAGAAGGUCACAGUAAUGUGUGGCCGCUGACUAAAAUAACCCCGUGGAUGGGAGAGUUAACCACAUUAGAAGCAAACUAAAAAGGUGGAGGUCAGAAGUAUACAGGAUGUCUAAGACCUUCACAGAUGACAAGUCCCAAGGAGAUGGGAGUGUGUAGAGGUCGAAACAAAAAGGACUGGGCACCUAUAAUAGCCAUUUGUUCUGGCAAAGCUGUGCCAAGUUCUUAGGACUAAGAAGGGCACUUGAUAAGGUCAGCACCCUUGCCUUGAUGCUGGAUAUUUCCCUGCAAAGCUGGAGUUGAGUUUUGAGAGUGAAAGACAGAGCAGAACCAUUCCUAUGUCACAGAUGUAGCUGGAGGCCCUGACUUACAUAACCGUCACAGGAUACAGAAUGACAGUUCCUCAGCCUACAGUAAAUGUGAUUAAAUUAUCUCAUCAGCCUCGUUCUCCUGAGGAUUUCUACAAUUUCAGAAAACCAUCUGUUAAUAUGACCUGUCUCCUAGACCCCCACACAGCACAGGACAGGGAUAUUAGUAUUCAAAGACACUGCUCCCUUCGGCGAGCCUUUGGAGGCCUACCAAGUUCGGUCUCUGUAGCCAGUUGAGGCCAGGAACGAGACGUGGAGAAACGACAGGGAAGGCAUGAGAACGAGCAAAGAGAAAACUCAGAAAUUUGUUGUAACCCAGCCACAAUUCUUUCAGCUGACCUGAUCUAAUUCCAGCAGCAAGUCUCUCUGAAACCCUGCCACAGCUGAAUUUAUUUUUAUUUUGCCUGCUCAGAGGCAGCGUACGGUGAAGGCAAGAGCACAUCACUUCAGGAAAAGUACUGCAGUGUAUUACUCACCCCGCCCCCACCGUGUGGAAAAGGUUAAUUUGAAUAAGGCUGCUGCUUCCACAAAUAGAACUGUAACGGCACACAGAAGCAUGGCCAAUGAGAGUGGCUUGUAGUGAUGUCAUACUUAUACCUGCUUCAUAUUAUUUGCUGAAUGGUAACAAUGCGUGCCUUUAAUCUUACGUUUCAUUGGUUAAGAGCCCUGCCACUCUGAGUACUUCUGGAGAGUUUUAGACACUGCGGUUUCUUUACAUACUCAGAUUUUUUUUUCUUUCAGUUUUUGUACCUCUAUAAACUGCUGGAAAGUGAACAUUUUAAACAUUUGUUCUGAAAAUAAAUAUAGCAGACUUUAUAGUUUCGGCCCGGCCUACAGAGUCCAUGAUACUUGGUCCAUCUAACAAGUCAGGGACAGUGUGAGAAAGGAUGCUUCAUUGACUGCACCCCUAGAAAGAGUACCUGGCCUCAGUACUGUCCCUCUGAUUUAACGGAAAACAAACAAACUUAUUUAGUUUAUUUUUGCAAGGUAGUUUUUCAGGGAGCAGGGCUUUCUUAAAAGCACCAGAUCUAAGCUUUCCUACUGUGCAGGAUUGAGAUCAUCAGAGAGAGGGAGAUCUCCAUGUCUUAGUUUUGUCCUAAGUGGUUUAGAGUUUUCAAUCAAUUAAAUUUUAUGUCAUUAAAAUGCGUCUCAGAUCACUCAGACUCCGGGGCUUUUCUGGAGAAAUUCUUCCAAACAAGCUUGGAAAAACCUUUGUGCCUUGAAGUGAGGGUAGAUUAGUUAUUCAUUAGUUAGGCAUUAACCAGCCCACUAAAGGAAGGAGAGGAACAUUCUGGUCAGCAUGAGAUACAAACGUGACUGGGAGGUCAGAGGUAAAUGUCCUUAUUCAAAAGUUUUGCAGUGUGUGGUGGUGAGGGCAUUGGACAAUCCUCACCAGGCAAAGUCAGAUCCUCAAAGAACCAAAGACAAAGUCGAGCUGUCCACACUUAGCCAGUAAAGCAGAACACAGACACAGAGGUUAAUCCGUGGCACUGCCAAGACAGCAUAUUAAAUGCUCCAGUGAGGAGGGCAGGGCAUUAAAGGACCAGUUAGUUUCUAAUAGGCACAAAGGAGAAGCAAGGGGUUCUUGGGGAGGGAGUGGAUGCCUGCAUAUAUCUUCAGCAGACAUUCCUGACUGGAAGUAUUAUUUUGAGAGACGUGUUGGGGAAAAAAAAACAGGUGCACAAAUUAGCAAGAAUGAUUCAAAUUAAGGAGAACUAGAAAAUACCAAGUGUUUUGACUGGGUUUGAAAUGGCUUCGUGUGAGCUUAUGUGUGUGUUUGAAUACUUGAUCCCCAAACAUUGCUGAUUUGGGAGAUUGUCAACCCUUUAGGAGAUGGAGUCCAGCUAGCAGACUGGCUAAUAAACACAGGUCUUUAAAGGUGGUAUUCAACUCUGGUUUUAAUCUGGCUCUGCAUCCAAGUGUAAUAUGUGAACGGUCAUACCACAAUCUCUUAGUACUAAAAAAGCUGCCUCAGCUAUCAGAACUUCCCUGCCAUCUGACGUGAUGAAUCAGAAUGAAGCUCUGCUUCCUUAUGUUGCUUUUUUCAAGUAUUCUGUUUAAGGACAAGAGAAGUAACUAGCGUACAAAGCAUUUUGAACAUCUACAUCUCAGACAAGUAGCCAACAUCGAUGAGUUUUGAAAGUGAAGUUUCUUUAGGUUUGUAUGCCAUCGUUUACUGUCUUCACCGUCUGAUGAGAGGUUAAUCUAGAUGGCACAAAAUUUUGAUUUUCAUCGACAAUAUCACCCCUACACUUACAGAUCAGGAAAUAUUACAGAAGUUGUGGAAAGAUCUCAAGAACCAGAAGAUGCUGACAUCUGCUUUGCUGUUGUGUCUUUUAUGUAUGUCUGGAAGCUGCACCUAUGAGAUCAUACAGGUAGACUUGCCUGAAUAAGAUGUGUGUAAUGGAGAACACCAGUAGAUAUUCAAGCAAAGAUGGGGAACUCUUACAAACUCCUCCCUUAGCUGAAGAGCUCCUCAUGACUCCUGAGAGAGGAAACUUCAGUCUUCUCGAGGGACAGGCCUCUGGAUAGGGUAUCCAAUUCUAAGUGUCAGUCCUAAACAUAUACCAAGGGAUUGCAGACUGUAUUCACACACACACCACCACCACCACCACCGACACCAUCAGCAGCAGCAGCAGCCGUAAAAACAACAACAACAACAACAACAACAACAACAACAACAACAACAGAAGUAGCCAGGUAUUUAAGAAAGAUUUCUGAGGAAUCAUGGGAGAUUGGUUGGUUGGAGGAGGGAGGAGGCUGGAAGAUGAUGUAAGUAAAGUUCUCAUGUAUGUUAUUCUCAAAAAAAAACUUUACAAUUUUUUAUUUUCUUAUACCCAUAAAUAAACACAUGUAUGG